rnacentral:rRNA from 1 species
CACGUAGGGGGCGAGCGUUGUCCGGAUUCAUUGGGCGUAAAGAGCUCGUAGGCGGUCUGUCGCGUCGGCUGUGAAAACCCGAGGCUCAACCUCGGGCCUGCAGUCGAUACGGGCAAACUAGAGUACUGCAGGGGAGACUGGAAUUCCUGGUGUAGCGGUGAAAUGCGCAGAUAUCGAGAGGAACACCUGCGGCGAAGGCGGGUUGCUGGGCUGACACUGACGCUGAUGCGCGAAAGCUAGGGGAGCGAACGGG